ensembl:lncRNA
GGGGAUGAAUGCCGGUGACAUAUGUGUGUGUUUUUAUGGAGCGUGUGUGAAGGCGUUUGGGUGAAAGUGGGAGGGCUGUGCUGAUUUAUAAGGACAGAGUCUGGGGAUGAACGGAUGUGUUGUUUCGGAGAAGCAAAUAGUUUAUCACAAUCCUUCUUUUAUUCACCCAUCUCAAGUAUGUCUUCAUGUAUGCAGGAAUGUGUCACGCGUCCGUGUGAACACGUGUGUGUUUUUGUGUUGCCCAUUCGGACCGGGGACAGCGGGAAAGAGUGAAGUAGGACCCAGUUGCCAUGGCGACGCCAUCGGCUUCCUGUCGAAGGCGCUCGCCUCCGCCAGCGCGUGAGCUCCCCAGCGUAACAAACGCACAUUGGCCAGAAACUGGGAUCAGGUCAGAUACUUGGAUCUCGAAUCCCCCAUCCCGCCCCAGCACACACCCGGCUGUUGACCCGCAGUCUGACCGAGG